rnacentral:rRNA from 1 species
GAUGAACGCUGGCGGCGUGCCUAAUACAUGCAAGUCGAACGGAAGGGCCCUGCUUUUGUGGCGUGGUCGAGUGGCGAACGGGUGAGUAACACAUGCGUAACCUGCCCCUGACUUUGGGGUAACAUUAGGGGACAGCGGCUACUACUGCCUCGGAGCUCCUGCUGCAUGGUGGGGGUUAGCAAGUUUCGGCGGUUGGGGAUAGUCUCGCGGGUUAUCAGCUUGUUUGUGGGGUAGUGGCUUACAAAGGCUGUGACGGGUAGCCGGCCUGGGAGGGUGACCGGCCACAAGGGGACUGAGGGACGGCCCAGACGCCAACGGGAGGCAGCGGGGGGAAAUAUGGCACAAUGAGCGGAAGCGAGAGACAGAAGCGCCGCGUGCGGGAAGACGGCCUGCGGGUGAAGAACCGCUUUCGCCUGAGACGUAGCGUGAGUGACGGUAAUGGAUAAAGAAGCACCGGCUAACUACGUG